rnacentral:rRNA from 1 species
UAGGGAAUCUUCGGCAAUGGGGGGAACCCUGACCGAGCAACGCCGCGUGAGUGAAGAAGGUUUUCGGAUCGUAAAGCUCUGUUGUUAAGGAAGAACGAGUGUGAGAAUGGAAAGUUCAUACUGUGACGGUACUUAACCAGAAAGGGACGGCUAACUACGUGCCAGCAGCCGCGGUAAUACGUAGGUCCCGAGCGUUGUCCGGAUUUAUUGGGCGUAAAGCGAGCGCAGGCGGUUAGAUAAGUCUGAAGUUAAAGGCAGUGGCUCAACCAUUGUAGGCUUUGGAAACUGUUUAACUUGAGUGCAGAAGGGGAGAGUGGAAUUCCAUGUGUAGCGGUGAAAUGCGUAGAUAUAUGGAGGAACACCGGUGGCGAAGGCGACUCUCUGGUCUGUAACUGACGCUGAGGCUCGAAAGCGUGGGUAGCAAACAGG